rnacentral:lncRNA from 1 species
UGGUCCAAAUGUUAACCUUCGGAGAAGGGAUAAUUAUUUUCAUAGGAGUGAUGACCUAGGGACAUCUUGUAUUUUCUGUAGAUGUAACCAGAAUAUUAUCCAAUUACCUAGUAAGUAAUUAUGUGAGUUUAUGGAAAAAAACAAAUCUUGAAUAAUUGAAUGCGGCUAACCUGGGCAAGGUCUUCACUGUUUGAAAAUAUGUUAUUCACUGUUCGAAAACGAGAGGACAGCCAGCCUCUCUUUGUUGUCUCGCCAAGUUUGUCGAUGAGAGCUGUGUGCCGCCUGUUGUUGAUCUGCACCUUGAACAGGAAGCCGAACGGGAUCAAAGUUGAAGGACUUGAUCGAUCUCCUUUAUAUGAGUUGUCUACGUGAUCAGGGGAGCCGGCCGGCCGGCCGUACGUGAUCAGGAGAGCCGGACGUACGUGAUCAAGAGUGCCCUGGUUAGGUACGUGACACCAUCCAAAACAAAAAAAACCUACCAAAACAAAAAAAAACCUACCUUUUUUGACUCCCUCUCGUUAUAGGCUUGCAAAAAUUUUGGACUGUCCCGGCCAAAAGUGGGCUCGCCAGGCUCAACCGCACAGGAGUCAACAGAGCUCAAACCGUAACAGGAGCCCGGCAAGCCACUUUAGGCCCAGUAGGCCCAAGAUAGGAGCAGAGAGUUCAGAGUGGUAAUCGUGACAAGGAGUUCGACCUGCCAUGCUCGCUUGAGCUUUUAAGUGCAGUAUCGCCUCCUAGACUCACCGAGGUGGUACUAAAAAGGGGAGGCAUUCACCAGUCGCGAAAUGAGGUUUGCAAAACUCUUAACGGGCUGGCCCAAGGAGGUGGUAUAAGCCCACAUAGCCUGCCGUGCCGUUCCCCUUCCCCACCCGUGCCCCC